CCAUGGCCCAGCCCCUGUGCCCGCCGCCCUCCGAGUCCUGGAUGCUCCCCGCGGCCUGGGGCCCAACUCGGCGGCCGCCGCCCUCCGACAAGGACUGCGGCCGCUCCCUCGUCUCGUCGCCAGACUCAUGGGGCAGCGCCCCAGCCGACAGCCCCGUGCCGAGCCCCGCGCGGCCCGGAGCUCGCCGGGACCCCCGCGCCCCCUCCGUAGGUAGGCGCAGCGCGCGCAGCAGCCGCCUGGGCAGCGGGCAGAGGCAGAGCGCCAGCGAGCGGGAGAAACUGCGCAUGCGCACGCUGGCCCGCGCCCUGCACGAGCUGCGCCGCUUUCUACCGCCGUCCGUGGCGCCCGCGGGCCAGAGCCUGACCAAGAUCGAGACGCUGCGUCUGGCUAUCCGCUAUAUCGGCCACCUGUCGGCCGUGCUAGGCCUCAGCGAGGAGAGUCUCCAGCGCUGGUGCCGGCAGCGCGGUGACGCGGGGUCCCCUCGGGGCUGCCCGCUGUGCCCUGACGACUGCCCCGCGCAGAUGCAGACACGGACGCAGGCUGGGGGGCAGGGGCGCGGGCUGGGCCUGGUAUCCGCCGUCCGCGCCGGGGCGUCCUGGGGAUCCCCGCCUGCCUGCCCCGGAGCCCGAGCUGCACCCGAGCCGCGCGACCCGCCUGCGCUGUUCGCCGAGGCGGCGUGCCCGGAAGGGCAGGCGAUGGAGCCAAGCCCACCGUCCCCGCUCCUUCCGGGCGACGUACUGGCUCUGUUGGAGACCUGGAUGCCCCUCUCGCCUCUGGAGUGGCUGCCUGAGGAGCCCAAGUGACAAGGGACAACUGACGCCGUCUCUGUGAGCACCGAGGCUUUUUGGCCUCAGCACCUUCGAAGUGGUUCCUUGGCAGACUGCCUUUCCUGGAAGAGGGCACGGGCGAUCCCGACGGGGGCAUUCCUGCGGGCAGAAGCUGACGCACAGGGAACUCGAGGAACUUUCCAUAAGGCUAGUGUGGAGCCCCUGGGGACGGGCCAACUGUGGGCUGGUGGUUGGUGAAGCCUGUCUUUGCAAGAGCCCUGGCAGCAAGGUAGGGGUGUGUGUGUGUGUGUGUGUAUGUGGCAGUUGGGCUGUGUGUGUGGCGGCGGGGCUGUGUGUGUGUGUGUGUGUGCAUGCACAUGUGUGUGUGGUGGGGCUGUGUGUGUCUGUGCGUGAGCGUGUGUGUGUGUGGCGGCAGCGCUGUGUGUGUGUGUGUGUGUGGCGGCGGGGCUCUGUGUGUGCACGUGUGUGUAGCAGCGGGGCUGUGUGUGUGUGUGUGUGUGUGUGUGGAGGCGGGGCUGUGUGUGUGGCGGGGGCAGCGGGGCUCUGUGUGUGUGUGUGUGUGGCCGUGGGGCUGUGUGUGUGUGUGUGUGUGUGUGUGUGGCAGCAGGGCUGUGUGUGUAGAGGCAGGGCUGUGUGUAUGGAGGCGGGGCUGUGUGUCUGUGGAGGUGGGGCUGUGUGUG